UCUCACAGGAUCCAGUCUAGAUUCCUUAGCCAAGCCCCUCAGGUCAGCCCCUGCCUGCCUCUCCCACUCAUCCAGUAACAACCUGUAGAGCCUUCACCGCAUCAGCCUCUUUACAGGCUCCCAAACAUGUCAAUGCUGUUUCACGCUUCUGUACCUUUUGUACAAAAUGUUCUCGACGCCACCCCCAUCCUCCCCUGAGGAAUUCCAGCUCAUCUUCUAAGACUCAGAACAAAGAGAGAUUCAUUUCAAGGAGUUGUAGGCAGGACAAUACCAGUGAAAGAUAACGGCCUUGGCAUCAAACAGACCUGCACCCAGUUCUGGUUCUUCCACUUACUCGGUGUGAAGCAAGGGGCCAGGAGUUUGGAAGUGGCCCAGUUGGGAAAUACUAGCUUGGGGUCUCUCAGGAGGUUGACUGGGGUUUAAGUCAUCUGUGGACUUACCUGGAACUGGAGGGUCCACUCCAAGUCUUCACUCCACUCACACAGCUGGCAGACUGAUGCUGAUUAUUGGUGGGUGUCUCAGUUCCCCAUCAGGUAGGCCUUCCAGAGACCUGAGUGUCCUGGUGACUCGAAAACUGGCCUUCCCCAGAGCAAGACUUCCAAAAGGCCAACGCAGAAGCUGUAACGUCUUUUAUGACCUGGUCUCAGAAGUCAUACACCAUUCCUCCCACCUGACUCUAUGUACAGAGCCAUCCCUGAUUGACACUGGAAAGGACUCCGUGAAGUCGUGAAUACCAAGAGAAAGCAAUCGUGGGGCUGUAUCAAUGUGGCUACCACAUCCCUUGAUGUACUCUAAGUAAUAAAGACUUUAAAGCAGGGCAUUUGAGGCUUUCACAUGUGUUUGCAGGACAAGGGAGCAAAAGUCAAGAAGUCUAUUUGUGAUGAUCUCAGCCUGCAUUACCAUCAUAAGAGGGUCUGAAGAGCUUACUUGGAAGCUGCUUUAGAUAUCAGAAAACUUUGAGAAAUUCCUUCCAUCCAUCUUAGCUGGCAACUCUGAAGCAAGAGAUUCUCUAGAAGCUACCGUUGGCAAUCUCAGCUGACUACUGUACCCGAGAGGUUCUUUCAUAGGAAAGGACCCUGCAGCUGCUGAGAACUUCACACCUGCCUUUGAUGAGCGUGGACUUUCCCACUCCUCUGCCUUCCAAUCUCAUGCAAAUGCCUUUCAGUGACCAACAUGACGCUGGGAUCAUAAAGAGAAGGGAACUCUGGGAAAUGUCAUUCCUGGCCUCUCCUUGGGUGAUGCAGGGAAUCUGUGGGUGGAAGUGGGUGGUGGUGAUACUGAGCUGACUACAGAUAAUCCAGCUGAAACUUUGGGGGGUUUUCAGUCAGUGAAACAUGCAUAAUACUAUGCAAGUUUGACUUGAAAUUCUCCCUUCUCCAAAGACAGUAAAAACAGUUUUUAAAAAAUGUUUUUAAUAUUCAUUUAUUUUUUGAGAGAGAGACAGAACACGAGAGAGGGAGGGGCAACAAAGAGAGGGAGACACAGAAUCCAAAGCAGGCUCCAGGCUCUGAGCUGUCAGCACAGAUCCUGACGUGGGGCUCGAACUCACAAACCGCGAGAUCAUGACCUGAGCCGAAAUGAGAUACUUAACCAACUGAGCCACCCAGUUGCCCCUAAAUGUUUUUAAGUAAGAUAAGGCAUGCUCACAAACAAGAAUGAGAUAGCAACGAACAGGGGCUGAAGCCAUAAAUCUAUGAAUCCAGAAAUGGACAGAGAGGGUUAGAAUCCUAGCCCUUUAGGGAUGUGAUGGACUUAGUGUUUCCCCUUAAAAUUCAUGUUAAAACCCUAAUCCCCUUGUGACAGUAUUAGGCGUGGAAACUUUGAGAGGUGAUU